rnacentral:rRNA from 1 species
UUGGGAGCUCAUCAGCUUCAGAGUCAUGGGAACUCCGAAGUUAAGCAAGUUGGGGCUAGAGCAAUCCUAGGAUGGGUGACCCAUUGGGAAGUUGCUCGUGAGCUUCCAGA